UCGAAAGCUAAAGAGGGUGUAUGGUGAAUGCCUAGGGACAAAUUGCCGAAGAAGGACGUGUAAGCAACGAUAUGCUGCGGGAAGGUGCACAGAACCGAUGAUCCGCAGAUUUCCGAAUGGGGAAACCCGGCGCGGGUAAUGCCGCGUCAUCCAAGAGUGAAUCCAUAGCUCUUGAGAAGGGCACCUGGUGAACUGAAACAUCUUAGUAACCAGUGGAAGAGAUACCGAAGGUACUCCGUCAGUAGCGGCGAGCGAACGCGGAUCAGCCUAAACCAGUCGGCAUGCCGGCUGGGGUUGUGGGGCAUCCACUAUUCCUCCCUAACUUUGGGACGAGGCACAUCAGUGUUUCGCACCUAAAGUUAGAGAGGAAUAGAAAAGAAGACUAGAAGCGUAUAGGGGAAGAACGUUGGAAAGCGUUCCCAUAGAGGGUGAUAGGCCCGUACCUUAAAUACAAAUCAGAUUCAGGAUGUACCCGAGUAGCGCGGAGCACGAGGAAUUCCGCGUGAAUCAUCCCGGACCACCGGGAAAGGCUAAGUACAAUUUGUCACCGAUAGUGCAUCCAGUACCGUGAGGGAAAGGUGAAAAGAACCCCGGGAGGGGAGUGAAAUAGAACCUGAAACCAUGUCACCCACAAACAGUCGGAGCCCUAUGUCCGGAGUAAUCCGGUCCUGGGUGACGGCGUGCCUUUUGCAGAAUGAGUCUGCGAGUUACUGGUACCGGCAAGGUUAAGUCGUUCAGCGACGAAGCCGGAGGGAAACCGAGUUUGAACAGAGCGUCAAGUCGGUAUCAGUAGACCCGAAACUGCGUGAUCUUGCCAUGGCCAGGCUGAAGUGAAGGUAACACUUCAUGGAGGGCCGAACUCAUUGACGUUGAAAAGUCUCGGGAUGAGCUGUGGUAAGUACGGUGAAAUGCCAAUCGAACGCAGAGAUAGCUGGUUCUCUCCGAAAUGCAUUGAGGUGCAGCGUAUCGUGUUGUCAUGUGGAGGUAGAGCACUGAAUGGGCUAGGGGGCUUACCCGCUUACCGAACCCAACCAAACUCCGAAUGCCAUAUGAUUAGCGGUGCAGUGAGACUGCGAGCCAUAAGGUCCGUGGUCAAAAGGGAAACAGCCCAGAUCGACAGCUAAGGUCCCUAAGUGACGAUUAAGUGUGAAACGAUGUGGAAUCGCGUAAACAGCCAGGAGGUUGGCUUGGAAGCAGCCAUCCUUUAAAAAGUGCGUAACAGCUUACUGGCCGAAUGUGAUUCUGCGCGGACAAUGUAAGGGGGCUCAAAUCGUCCACCGAAGCUUCGGGAUUGACGUAAGUCAAUCGGUAGGAGAGCGUCGGGCAUGCAGUGAAGCUUGAGCGGAAGCACAGGUGGAGCGUGUUCGAGUGAGAAUGCAGACACGAGUAGCGAUUAUUGAAGUGAGAAUCUUCAACGCCGAUACCCUAAGGUUUCUCCGGCUAUGUUCGUCAGACGGAGGUUAGGCGGUCCUAAGGCCAGGCCAGAAGGCGUAGCCGAUGGAUAGCAGGUCAAAAUUCCUGCCCCGGUAACAGUUCAAAAGAGUGACGUUUCGAUGAGAUCCAGACACACCGUUGGUUGUUGUGAGCCUCGCCCUUCGGGGCAAAGCACUUGGAUGGAUUCGGGGCCGCGAAAAGCUCUGGAGGCUAGCUGUUAUCGACCGUACUGCAAACCGACACAGGUAGGGAAGUCGAGGAGACUAAGGCGUUCGGGAGAACUCUCGUUAAGGAACUAGGCAAAUGGGCCCCGUAAGUUCGCAAUAAGGGGCGCCUCCUUCGGGAGGCCGCAGCAAAGCAGCCAAGGCGACUGUUUACCAAAAACACAGGUCUCUGCUAAGGUGAAAACCGAAGUAUAGGGGCUGACACCUGCCCAAUGCCAGUAGAUUAAGAGGAGAUGUCAGGGUAACCAAAGCAUUGAAUUGAAGUCCUGGUGAAUGGCGGCCGUAACUCUAACGGUCCUAAGGUAGCGAAAUUCCUUGUCGGCUAAAUACCGACCCGCAUGAAAGGUGUAACGACUUUGGCACUGUCUCAACGAGAAGCCCGGUGAAACUGUAGCGCCCGUGAAGAUGCGGGCUACGCGUAAUAGGACGGAAAGACCCCGUGGAGCUUUACUACACCUUCAGAUUGCUGUUUGGGUGUGGAUGUAGAGCGUAGGUGGGAGCUUCGGCACCAAUGGAACACCACCCUUCUACAUCUGAACAGCUAACCUGACCCAUCAUCUGGGUUGGAAACAGUCUGUGGCGGGUAGUUUGACUGGGGCGGUCGACUCCUAAACAGUAACGGAGUCGUACAAAGGUGCACUCAGGCUGGUCGGAAAUCAGCCGCUGAGCGUAUAGGUAUAGAGUGCGCUUGACUGUGAGACAAACAAGUCGAGCAGGUACGAAAGUAGGUCUAAGUGACCCUCUGAUUGUGCGUGGGCACGUCAGGGUUCAACGGAUAAAAGCUACCCCGGGGAUAACAGGCUGAUCUUGCCCGAGCGCUCACAGCGACGGCAUGGUUUGGCACCUCGAUGUCGGCUCGUCGUAUCCUGGGGCUGCACAAGGUCCCAAGGGUUCCGGAGUUCACGGAUUAAAACGGCACGCGAGCUGGGUUCAGAACGGCGUGAGCCAGUUCGGUCCCUAUCCAUUACGCGCGCAGGAUAUUUGAGGGGAGUCGCUCUUAGUACGAGAGGACCGGAGUGAACCGACCUCUGGUGUACCAGUUGUCCCGCCAGGGGCAUAAGCUGGGUAGCCACGUCGGGUCGUGAUAAGCGCUGAAAGCAUCUAAGCGCCAAGCACACCCCAAGAUCAGAUAUCCCAUCGAAAGAGUAAGACCCCAUGAAGACUACAUGGUGAUAGGUCGGAGGUGGAAGCGUGGUAACACGUGCAGCUAACCGAUACUAAUUGGUCGAGGGCUUUUAAAC
rnacentral:rRNA from 1 species